GCCGGGCAUGGUGGCGCGUGCCUGUAAUCCCAGCUACUUGGGAGGCUGAGGCAGAAGAAUCACUUGAACCUGGGAGGCGGAGGUUGCAGUGAGCCGAGAUCACACCACUGCACUCCAGCCUGGGUGACAGAGUGAGACUCCAUCUCAA
ensembl:misc_RNA Metazoa_SRP Metazoan signal recognition particle RNA